GUGAAGAACGUAGCGAAAUGCGAUAAGUAAUGUGAAUUGCAGAAUUCAGUGAAUCAUCGAAUCUUUGAACGCACCUUGCGCUCCUUGGUAUUCCGAGGAGCAUGCCUGUUUGAGUGUCAUUAAAUUCUCAACCUCACCCGUUUUCUGAACGGUUCUCCGAGGCUUGGAUGUGGGGGUUUGUGCAGGCUGCCUCAGCGCGGUCUGCUCCCCUGAAAUGCAUUAGCGAGUUCGUACUGAGCUCCGUCUAUUGGUGUGAUAAUUAUCUACGCCGUGGACAGGGUUUAGACUCGCUUCUAACCGUCCGCAAGGACAAUACCUUUGACAAUUUGACCUCAAAUCAGGUAGGACUACCCGCUGAACUUAAGCAUAUCAAUAAGCGGAGGA
rnacentral:misc_RNA from 1 species